CCUACGGGUGACAGCAGUCGAGAAUCAUUCACAAUGGGGGAAACCCUGAUGGUGCGACGCCGCGUGGGGGAAUGAAGGUCUUCGGAUUGUAAACCCCUGUCAUGUGGGAGCAAAUUAAAAAGAUAGUACCACAAGAGGAAGAGACGGCUAACUCUGUGUCAGCAGCCGCGGUAAUACAGAGGUCUCAAGCGUUGUUCGGAAUCACUGGGCGUAAGGCGUGCGUAGGCUGUUUCGUAAGUCGUGUGUGAAAGGCGCGGGCUCAACCCGCGGACGGCACAUGAUACUGCGAGACUAGAGUAAUGGAGGGGGAACCGGAACUCUCGGUGUAGCAGUGAAAUGCGUAGAUAUCGAGAGGAACACUCGUGGCGAAGGCGGGUUCCUGGACAUUAACUGACGCUGAGGCACGAAGGCCAGGGGAGCGAAAGGGAUUAGAUACCCGGGUAGUC
rnacentral:rRNA from 1 species